AGCUCCAAUAGCGUAUAUUUAAGUUGUUGCAGUUAAAAAGCUCGUAGUUGGAUUUCGGGCGGGGCGGCGCGGUCCGCCUCUGGUGUGCACUGCGCUGUCCCGCCUUCCUGCCGGGGACGGGCUCCUGGGCUUCACUGUCCGGGACUCGGAGUCGGCGAGGUUACUUUGAGUAAAUUAGAGUGUUCAAAGCAGGCCUACGCUCUGAAUACAUUAGCAUGGAAUAACGCGAUAGGACUCUGGCCUAUCUCGUUGGUCUGUGGGACCGGAGUAAUGAUUAAGAGGGACAGUCGGGGGCAUUCGUAUUCCGCUGCUAGAGGUGAAAUUCUUGGAUUUGCGGAAGACGAACUACUGCGAAAGCAUUUGCCAAGGAUGUUUUCA
rnacentral:rRNA from 1 species